UACGUAGGUGGCAAGCGUUGUCCGGAUUUACUGGGCGUAAAGGGCGUGCAGGCGGUCUGUUAAGUCUAGGGUGAAAGCUCCCGGCUCAACUGGGAGAGGUCCUUGGAUACUGGCGGACUUGAGGGAGGCAGAGGAAAGUGGAAUUCCCGGUGUAGUGGUGAUAUGCGUAGAUAUCGGGAGGAACACCAGUGGCGAAGGCGGCUUUCUGGGCCUUACCUGACGCUGAGACGCGAAAGCGUGGGGAGCGAACUGG
rnacentral:rRNA from 1 species